UGUGUACUCCCUUCGUUCCAAAAUACUUGACUUCCAUUUGUCCAAAAAUGGAUGUACCUAUAUACUAAAACAUGUCUAGAUACAUAUAUAUUUUGACAAAUAGAAGGCAUGUAUUGUGCAAUGGAGGGAGUAGAAU
rnacentral:pre_miRNA from 1 species